GAUGAACGCUGGCGGCGUGCCUAAUACAUGCAAGUCGAGCGAACAGACGAGGAGCUUGCUCCUCUGACGUUAGCGGCGGACGGGUGAGUAACACGUAGAUAACCUACCUAUAAGACUGGGAUAACUUCGGGAAACCGGAGCUAAUACCGGAUAAUAUUUCGAACCGCAUGGUUCGAUAGUGAAAGACGGCUUUGCUAUCACUUAUAGAUGGAUCUGCGCCGUAUUAGCUAGUUGGUAAGGUAACGGCUUACCAAGGCAACGAUACGUAGCCGACCUGAGAGGGUGAUCGGCCACACUGGAACUGAGACACGGUCCAGACUCCUACGGGAGGCAGCAGUAGGGAAUCUUCCGCAAUGGGCGAAAGCCUGACGGAGCAACGCCGCGUGAGUGAUGAAGGUCUUCGGAUCGUAAAACUCUGUUAUUAGGGAAGAACAAACGUGUAAGUAACUGUGCACGUCUUGACGGUACCUAAUCAGAAAGCCACGGCUAACUACGUG
rnacentral:rRNA from 1 species